rnacentral:rRNA from 1 species
UACGUAGGGUGCAAGCGUUGUCCGGAAUUAUUGGGCGUAAAGAGCUCGUAGGCGGUUUGUCGCGUCUGCUGUGAAAACUCGGGGCUUAACCCCGGGCCUGCAGUGGGUACGGGCAGACUAGAGUGCGGUAGGGGAGACUGGAAUUCCUGGUGUAGCGGUGAAAUGCGUAGAUAUCAGGAGGAACACCGGUGGUGUAGACGGCUCUCUGGACCGUAACUGACGCUGAGACACGAAAGCGUGGGUAGCAAACAGG